rnacentral:rRNA from 1 species
AUGACCACAGCGGGUUACCUUAAUAUAUUGAAAUUUAUAACAAAGAUACUAUUUGAGACAUUAUUUCGAAUAAAAGACAAACUGGGUACUGUGGCCCGGCUAUUUGGACGUUGUAAGAGCUUUCCAUUCUACAUGAUCCAACCUUCAAAGGAAGUUGUCGAAAAUGAAAAAUUCUACCAUCACUGCCUGCUGAUCACAUCUAAUACCUGUAACUUGGACCCGGCAAGAGUGAAAACUGAACUAAACAAGUUUUGGAAGCUGACUGAUGACUGGGAUAUAAGGAGAGACGUUAGACAGAAUUUCAUAGCAUCCUUCAACUCAGAGGAUGACCUACUACGCUGUUUAAAGCCUCCGGAUGUAGAAACAUUUCUGGAUGAAAAGGAGGUGAAUUUCAGUGUAGCAAUGUGGGAUGAAGGUGAUAGGGAAAAGCUUGACUUGAUCAAAGAGUGGCUUUUGGUCUAUGGGGUCCCAGGUGCAUAUAUAAACUGGAAGGAGCUAUAUCAAGUGGCAUCUGCAGUUGGAGUUUUGCUUGAGGUGGAUGAGGAAAUUUUGGAAAGUGGAGAUAAGGAGCCUAUUAGGUUGAGGAUAGCGUUAGGAAGUCCUGUUGGUGCUCCUUUCUCUUACCACUUUGUGUUUGGAUGGUCUUCUAGACUAGUCAAGUUCAUGAUUGAAGACAAAGUAGGAAGGAUAGAAGGGCAGUGGAAGGAAGUAGAAGAACGAAAUGUUAGCGUCAUGAAGGAAUAUGCAGAUAUAAGAGAAUAA